rnacentral:misc_RNA from 1 species
GCUCAUCUAAAAUAUAUUAGCUGGAUCCAUUAUACCACUUGGUUCUUACUCAGCGUGAUAAUUGUCAUUCGCUGAGGACACUUCUUUUAAUCUUGAGGUGGCCAGGCAUUUAGUGCUUAUCUGCUUCUAACCGUCUCUCUGUAGACAAAUAUUUUUAUGAAUCUGAUCUCAAAUCAGGUAGGACUACCCGCUGAACUUAA